GUUUAUGGAUGACGAGAAAUCAAUAAUAAUACAGUUAUCCCUGGCUGAUUAUCUGUGCUGACAUUUCUUUUUAAUCUGACAUAAAC
rfam:Citrus clementina cultivar Clemenules unplaced genomic scaffold scaffold_5, whole genome shotgun sequence.